rnacentral:lncRNA from 13 species
UUUAUGGAUACAAAUCUGAAUUAGUUCUGAAGAGUUCCAUAUUGAGAGAGUUUAAAACUAUUUUUCUCCUGAAACUUAUUUUAUUGUAUAACAACUCACUUUGUGCAGACAUCCUUCCUCAGAGCUAAUCUAAACCCUCUGUACUGCAUUUUAUUCUUUUCCCUUUGUUCUGGCUCAGCAAUCAGAAGAACAGAUGGCCAUCUUCUGUCAGUACUUGAAGACUGUUUCUUAGAAACAUUAAGCCUCCAUCAGGCUCACUUGUUAAUGCAAAAGUCCUACUCAGGACAGAAGCUAGGACAAACUUUGAAGUCAUCAGGCGUUACUUGUGAAACUAAAGUUUAAGAACCACUGCGAAGACUCAGACUAUAAGAAAUGAACUGGGCUCCAGAAAUGUGGCUUUGUGGGGAUGAGUGAGGUCUGGGAGAAUGGAUUGAAUUGAGGUACACAAAACAGAUGAAGUUGGGAGAAAAUACAGAGAAUGGAAGUUAAAAUAUUUGUUUGUGAUUAGCAUUACUGAUAUGGAAUUCCUGUUUGUUUUUUUUUUUAAAGAAUAUGUCUAUUUAUUCUGUUGUAAAAGUAGAGACUUGAAAGAGGCACAAAGUAUGUUUCAUUGUGAAUUAUCAAAUCAGUUUUUGGGAUUUUCCUGCACAUGAUUAGAAAAACAUGUUGCUGUUUUUGGAUUCUGAGCAAAAACAAAGUUGGGACAUAUAUGUCACUCCUUUCCCCUUUGCUGAGUUAGUAAAAAUAUUAUAUAAUUACAUUAAUUUUCAAUUUAGGGUUCAUCU